UACGUAGGGUGCGAGCGUUAAUCGGAAUUACUGGGCGUAAAGCGUGCGCAGGCGGUCUGUUAAGACCGAUGUGAAAUCCCCGGGCUUAACCUGGGAACUGCAUUGGUGACUGGCAGGCUUUGAGUGUGGCAGAGGGAGGUAGAAUUCCACGUGCAGCAGUGAAAUGCGUAGAGAUGUGGAGGAAUACCGAUGGCGAAGGCAGCCUCCUGGGCCAACACUGACGCUCAUGCACGAAAGCGUGGGGAGCAAACAGG
rnacentral:rRNA from 1 species